UACGGAGGAUCCAAGCGUUAUCCGGAAUCAUUGGGUUUAAAGGGUCCGUAGGCGGUUUGGUAAGUCAGUGGUGAAAGCCCAUCGCUCAACGGUGGAAACGGGCCAUUGAUACUGCCAGACUUGAAUUAUUAGGAAGUAACUAGAAUAUGGUAGUGUAGCGGUGGAAAUGACUUAGAGAUUACAUGGAAUACCAAUUGCGAAGGC
rnacentral:rRNA from 1 species